rnacentral:tRNA from 1 species
GGGCGCGUAGCUCAGUUGGCAGAGCACGUCACUGAUAAUGACGGGGUCGAUGGUUCAAGUCCAUCCGCGCCCA